rnacentral:tRNA from 1 species
CUAAGGAAGCUGUGGACGGUAAGACGACCGGCACAUGUCGCAAGACAUGGCCCGGUAUGAACCUUCCCGUGCUUUUUAGAACAAUAGAUGGCACCAGUCAGGUGACCAUCGAAACGCAAUACGCCACGGAAUUGCCUCGGCAAUAGGAUGGUAUGGCGAACCCGCCGACUACGUUUCUCUUUCUUCAAGAAGACAAAAAACCGCACGACCGGUUUGACUGAAUGGGCCCGUAGCUCAGUUGGUUAGAGCACACGCUUGAUAAGCGUGGGGUCGGUAGUUCGAGUCUACCCGGGGCCCACCAUUUUGUUUGAAAAAGCAGAUGGCUUGGCGCCGCACGGGUGGCGAACACAGUUGAAUGGCGCGCGGAUUAUGGUGUUGAUGAACGGGCUUUGUGCUGACGCUGUCGGCUGCAAGCUGUUCCCAAGUGAUUGGGGCUGUAGCUCAGCUGGGGAGAGCACCUGCUUUGCAAGCAGGGGGUCAGCGGUUCGAUCCCGCUCAGCUCCACCAUAUUUUGUCCUGACGCUGUCGCGGCCUUGCUCGAGUUUGAGUAUGGCAGCAAUACAGCGCAGAGCGCGUCGCCAAUCGUUUGGCGCCCCUGCGGAGCGCCUGCGGCGCGUGAGCACAAAAGUUGUCUUCUGAAGAAAAUAAAAGUUUGCAUCACUUCGAUGAAGUGCUGCCUGUUCUGCAAAAAUCGUGAAGAGAAGAUUGAUCUGGAGGCUUCCAGGUAUGGGUUUAGGCCCAUGUCCGAAGCCGGUUCCAAUGAUGUCGUUGAUGGCCUAGCCGGCCGGAUACGAAAGAGGGGCCGGAAUAGGUAGGAAGCUUGUCACUCUGGUCGGUCGUUGUUGUCAUUUUGAAGACUUGUCCUGAAGGAAUGGCUCUGAUGACUUACUGAUGGCCGUUGCCUGACCGCGCGGUCCUGGAUCACAUCUCGAGAAGCUGGUCUUAAAGACAAGUUUGCAAGCGGGUCGCUCGGCGUGACCCCAAUCAAGCAAGCUUGUCGAACACGUCGAUGGCAUCAUGAGAAGGGCUGGUUGUAAAAGGUAACCGGUCCGCCACGCAUUGGGUCUGAAAGCCCGAUGGGUGGCUAUAUUGAUGAGCAUUGGCAAUGAGAACGAUUAAGUGUGCGUAAGGGCAUUUGGUGGAUGCCUGCAUGCACAGCG